GACGUAGGGUGCGAGCGUUAAUCGGAAUUACUGGGCGUAAAGUGUGCGCAGGCGGCAGAGCAAGUCGAGUGUGAAAGCCCCGGGCUUAACUUGGGAAUUGCGCUCGAAACUACUUUGCUGGAGUGUGGCAGAGGAAGGUGGAAUUCCACGUGUAGCGGUGAAAUGCGUAGAGAUGUGGAGGAACACCAAUGGCGAAGGCAGC
rnacentral:rRNA from 1 species